AAUGGCUGUAGUGUGACAGGGUAUUAGUAAGGCUGCUCGACAGCUAGGUCUCAAAAUCAGACAGACCGAAAUUUAACCAACCUAAGGGGUUACAGAUAAAAUUAUAGCUGCAGGAAUGCUUUCGGGCUGGACUGGCCCACCUCAGCCACGCACAUCUUACCGGAAAGCUCAACCAAUCACUUCCUAUCUAGCAUGUCGUGCAAGGGGUAAAACCGUCACCAAACAGGGGACUAUUAUGACGGGCGGAGGGGUCCCCGGCCGCUGCGCGCCUCUCAUAAUAAAAAAAGGGAAAGCGCCUCUUACUGGUCACGUCGCACGAGUUUUUGUUUUCGAAUAGCGGAUCUUUCCCGUUUAUUAUUGGUAAAAUUCGGC
rnacentral:lncRNA from 1 species